rnacentral:rRNA from 1 species
AUGCGGAAGCAGCCGUCGCGGCUGACGUCCGGGAUGAAGCGGCUGGCGUCGAGGGUCACCUCCUUCCGCGUGCCCGACAUGGGCCUCAAGCGCACCCACUCCAGCGCGCAGCCGGCGCUCAAGGGCCUCCGCUUCCUCGACAAGGCCGCCGCCGGCAAGGACGGCUGGAAGUCCGUCGAGAAGCGCUUCGACGAGAUGAGCGCCGACGGCCGCCUCCACCAGGAGAACUUCGCCAAGUGCAUCGGCAUGGCGGACUCCAAGGAAUUCGCAAGCGAGGUGUUCGUGGCGAUGGCGAGGAGAAGGAAGAUCGACCCAGAACAAGGACUCACCAAGGAGCAGCUCCAGGAGUGCUGGGAAGAGAUGUCUGACAACAACUUCGAUGCACGGCUGCGCAUAUUCUUUGACAUGUGCGACAAGAACGGCGACGGAAAGCUCACAGAAGAUGAGGUCAAGGAGAUCAUUGUGCUGAGCGCGGGGGCGAACAAGCUUGCCAAGCUGAAGAAACAUGCUGCGACCUACGCCUCGCUCAUCAUGGAGGAGCUGGACCCUGAUGCCCGCGGCUACAUUGAGAUUUGGCAGCUGGAGAAGCUACUCCGUAAGAUGGUGAUGGAAGAGGGGUCACAGGAUCAGAUGGACCAGGCGUCAACCAGCCUCGCCAAGACAAUGGUUCCGUCCAGUCACCGGAGCCCAAUGCAGAAACAGAUUCACGAGACCGUCGACUUCAUCCACGAGAACUGGAAGAGGAUAUGGUUCCUGGCGCUGUGGGGGGUCGCCAACAUUGCCCUCUUCAUAUUCAAGUUCAUACAGUACAGGAAUCGGGCCGUCUUCGAGGUGAUGGGGUACUGUGUCUGCAUCGCCAAGGGUGCCGCUGAGACGACCAAGCUGAACAUGGCCCUCAUACUCCUCCCGGUGUGCCGAAACACGCUAACAGCACUCCGGUCGACUGCACUCAGCGCCGUCAUACCAUUUGACGACAACAUAAACUUCCACAAGGUUAUCGCGGUUGGAAUUGCAAUUGGAGCGGGUAUGCAUACGGUUGUUCACCUGACCUGCGACUUCCCAAGGCUGGUCUCCUGCCCAAGUGACAAGUUCCAGGAGAAGCUGGGGCCCUUCUUCAACUAUGUUCAACCAACAUGGGGAACUCUGUUCGCGAGCACUCCAGGGUGGACUGGUAUCCUCCUGGUCCUCAUAAUGUCAUUCUCCUUUACACUGGCGACAACCUCCUUCAGGAGGAGCGUCGUGAAGCUGCCAUCGCCACUGCACCACCUGGCUGGCUUCAAUUCCUUCUGGUAUGCCCACCACCUGCUGGUGUUUGCAUAUAUCCUUCUGGUGAUGCACUCCUACUACUUAUUCCUCACCAAGCCGUGGUACAAGAAAACGGGAUGGAUGUACAUAGCAGUUCCUGUUAUCUUCUAUGCCAGCGAGAGAGCCACCAGAAGAGUUCGUGAGAAGAAUUAUGGAGUGACUGUCAUCAAGGCAGCAAUUUACCCAGGAAAUGUUCUCUCUCUUUACAUGAAGAAGCCAUCAAGUUUCAAAUACAAAAGUGGGAUGUACCUCUUUGUAAAAUGCCCAGACGUCUCGCCUUUUGAAUGGCAUCCCUUCUCCAUCACCUCUGCACCUGGGGACGACUACUUGAGUGUACAUAUCCGCACAUUAGGUGACUGGACAACAGAACUAAGGAACCUAUUUGGGAAGGCCUGUGAAGAAGAAGUAAAUUCCAAGAAGGCUACACUAUCAAGACUUGAGACCACAGUCAUAGCAGAAGGCGCGGACGAGAAUACUAGAUUUCCCAAGAUCUUUGUUGAUGGCCCUUUCGGUGCACCAGCUCAAAAUUACAAGAAAUACGACAUCCUUUUCCUUAUUGGCCUUGGAAUUGGUGCAACUCCUUUCAUCAGCAUACUGAAGGAUCUCCUGCACAACAUAAAGUCUAAUAAUGAGCAGCAAAGCAUGAAUGACGAGGAGGCAGGCAGCAGCUUCAAGAGCAACGGGCCAAGCCGAGCUUACUUCUAUUGGGUUACCAGGGAACAAGGCUCCUUUGAAUGGUUCAAAGGUGUCAUGAAUGAAGUUGCUGAAUGUGAUAGCGAUAAUGCAAUAGAGAUGCACAACUACCUAACCAGUGUGUACGAGGAAGGAGAUGCGAGGUCAGCUCUGAUUGCCAUGGUUCAAUCGCUCCAACACGCAAAAAAUGGUGUGGAUAUCGUCUCCGGCAGCAAGAUCCGGACACAUUUUGCAAGGCCAAACUGGAGAAAGGUGUACUCUGAUUUGGCAAAUACCCACAAGAAUGCUCGUAUAGGUGUUUUCUAUUGUGGAUCUCCGACGCUUACAAAAACACUCAGGGAACUUGCAAUAGAAUUCAGCCACACGACAACAACACGGUUCCAUUUCCACAAGGAGAACUUCUAA